AACUUCUGAACGUUGACCUCGAAUCAGGUAGGAAUACCCGCUGAACUUAAGCAUAUCAAUAAGCGGAGGAAAAGAAACCAACAGGGAUUGCCCUAGUAACGGCGAGUGAAGCGGCAACAGCUCAAAUUUGAAAUCUGGCUCUCGGGCCCGAGUUGUAAUUUGUAGAGGAUGCUUUUGGUGAGGUGCCUUCCGAGUUCCCUGGAACGGGACGCCAUAGAGGGUGAGAGCCCCGUCUGGUUGGACACCGAUCCUCUGUAAAGCUCCUUCGACGAGUCGAGUAGUUUGGGAAUGCUGCUCUAAAUGGGAGGUAUAUGUCUUCUAAAGCUAAAUACCGGCCAGAGACCGAUAGCGCACAAGUAGAGUGAUCGAAAGAUGAAAAGAACUUUGAAAAGAGAGUUAAAAAGUACGUGAAAUUGUUGAAAGGGAAGCGCUUGUGACCAGACUUGGGCUUGGUUGAUCAUCCAGGGUUCUCCCUGGUGCACUCUUCCGGCUCAGGCCAGCAUCAGUUCGCCCCGGGGGAAAAAGGCUUCGGGAAUGUGGCUCUCUCCGGGGAGUGUUA
rnacentral:rRNA from 1 species